UACGUAGGUGGCAAGCGUUGUCCGGAUUUACUGGGCGUAAAGCGUGUGUAGGCGGACCUUUAAGUAGAAAGUGAAAGGUAGGAGCUCAACUCCUACAUUGCUCUCUAUACUGGAGGUCUUGAGUGUCGGAGAGGAAGAUGGAACUGCAACGUGUAGCGGUGAAAAUGCGUUGAGAUGUGCAGGAACACCAAUGGCGAAAGGCA
rnacentral:rRNA from 1 species